AUCCUACGGGAGGCAGCAGUGAGGAAUAUUGGUCAAUGGGCGAGAGCCUGAACCAGCCAAGUCGCGUGAGGGACGACGGCCCUACGGGUUGUAAACCUCUUUUGCCGGGGGACAAACGGCGGCACGCGUGCCGUCCUGAGGGUACCCGGAGAAAAAGCAUCGGCUAACUCCGUGCCAGCAGCCGCGGUAAUACGGAGGAUGCGAGCGUUAUCCGGAUUUAUUGGGUUUAAGGGGUGCGCAGGCGGAGGUGCAAGUCAGAUGUGAAAACUCA
rnacentral:rRNA from 1 species